rnacentral:rRNA from 1 species
GACGAACGCUGGCGGCGUGCCUAAUACAUGCAAGUAGAACGCUGAAGGAGGAGCUUGCUUCUCCGGAUGAGUUGCGAACGGGUGAGUAACGCGUAGGUAACCUGCCUGGUAGCGGGGGAUAACUAUUGGAAACGAUAGCUAAUACCGCACAAUAGCAGUUAUUGCAUGAUAACUGUUUGAAAGGUGCAAUUGCACCACUACCAGAUGGACCUGCGUUGUAUUAGCUAGUUGGUGGGGUAACGGCUCACCAAGGCGACGAUACAUAGCCGACCUGAGAGGGUGAUCGGCCACACUGGGACUGAGACACGGCCCAGACUCCUACGGGAGGCAGCAGUAGGGAAUCUUCGGCAAUGGACGGAAGUCUGACCGAGCAACGCCGCGUGAGUGAAGAAGGUUUUCGGAUCGUAAAGCUCUGUUGUAAGAGAAGAACGAGUGUGAGAGUGGAAAGCUCACACUGUGACG